AGUGAACGCUGGCGGUAGGCCUAACACAUGCAAGCCGAACGGCAGCACAGUAAGAGCUUGCUCUUACGGGUGGCGAGUGGCGGACGGGUGAGGAAUACAUCGGAAUCUACUUUUUCGUGGGGGAUAACGUAGGGAAACUUACGCUAAUACCGCAUACGACCUACGGGUGAAAGCAGGGGAUCUUCGGACCUUGCGCGAUUGAAUGAGCCGAUGUCGGAUUAGCUAGUUGGCGGGGUAAAGGCCCACCAAGGCGACGAUCCGUAGCUGGUCUGAGAGGAUGAUCAGCCACACUGGAACUGAGACACGGUCCAGACUCCUACGGGAGGCAGCAGUGGGGAAUAUUGGACAAUGGGCGCAAGCCUGAUCCAGCCAUACCGCGUGGGUGAAGAAGGCCUUCGGGUUGUAAAGCCCUUCUGUUGGGAAAGAAAAGCAGCAGGUUAAUACCCCGCUGUUCUGACGGUACCCAAAGAAUAGGCACCGGCUAACUUCGUG
rnacentral:rRNA from 1 species